UUCUGUUCCUGUCUUGUUCUUGUCAUGUCUUCUGAACUUGGAGCCUCUGUGGGCAGAAUUCCCUGUCCCUGUACAAAGAUUCAGCAAAAUGUUGUGAGUCUGCUGAGGAUUGUAGAGAUCUCCUUUAGUCAUAGUGCUCCACCUGGGGUCUAACGCAUCAGGCUCUUUGCCUCAGUCAUCUGAGCUCCCAUCCAUGCUGUUUUGCUGUCCAGGCAAUUGGGAACCUUCUUAACAUGCACAUACUUUAAAUUGUUUGAAGCUUGUUCAUUUUGAAAUGAGAUCAAUAAGAGCAAUUACCCAGUCUAUGUUGUUCAGUCUUUCUAGAAGCAACUUACUGAAGACAAAAGCCGAGAAUGAACAGCUUUUGUUUGAAAAUACAAAUCUCAAGAAAAACUUGGAAAUAAGCAGGCCAACUGCACAGGAAUUAAAAUUUUACAAGCACCAAGUGAAGAAACUACAGAAAGCUUUAAAGAAAACUAUCCAAUUUUCAGGGAACAGGACUGGGGAAAA